GAUGCCUUAAAAUCUAAAAAUAAUGAGUUGUCCCAGUCAUUACUUGUUGAGCAGUAAACUUCUAAAAGGCAGGAGCAAGAAAGCGUGCAUGCUAAAGAUUCUGCGCAAUCAGUUAGUAUUUCACAUUUUUCUAAUGAGAUUCAAAGCCCAUCCCCUUAUAAUGUGGAUGCCUUGACCCUGUUUACUGACAGGUUGAUGAAUGAGGAUCCUCAUGCCCUUAGCUCAUAUUUUAUUGGAGCCUGUGGAUAUGCGAUCUUUUUGAUGGGGCAUGGACUGAUGCUUCUCUUUUGGGAUUUUGAAGUAUUUUGGCAAGGAUUUGUGGAUGUGAAUUAUCUUGAACUUUUAUCUCUUUUUGGUGUUGAUGUUUAUUUUUGUCACCAAUAGCUGGUAGUGAGUAUUUGUUAAUGGACUUUGAAAUCUCUUUUUCCUCUUCCUCUUCCUCUUUCUCUAUUUGGAU
rnacentral:lncRNA from 1 species